rnacentral:lncRNA from 7 species
CAAGGGGAGAUCCUGUUGUGCAGCCAGCUGCCACACAGGAGAGCUCCAGGGGCUCUUGGGCUGCUCACUAUUUAUGGGGUAAGAUAACUGACUCAUAGUCAUGCUUUGUUUUUAGGCAUGUGCUGAAUUGGCCUCAGCUGUUGAACCGGCUGUCUGCUAUCAGUUCUUUCAACCCCCCAGAUCUGUGUUCAUUAAUCUGCCUUAGAGUUUUAUCAGUACUGGUGGGUGGGGAGCACACCAUCACGUCUCUCUCCUGUGAUGUUAUUUUCUUGUCUGCAGCUUUUAUGUGUACUAGUUCACUGGUUUUCCAAAUAUUGCCUCCAAUGCAGUUCAGCUUCUGAGGAGAAAAGGUAAAAGUGCUAGAACUCUUGUCAGAGGCAGAUUUGUCUCUAACAACACCUGUCCAGGACAUCUUGGCCAAUGAGCAGCAAUGCACUGUGCACAAUGCAGGGAGUUGUCCUGCCUGAGGCUGUCCUGAAUUCUGCACUAUGCAAAACUGUGACCAGUGGGGUUUGAGCCUGAGUGCAUAGAGGGAUGCAGUCUCAGGAGACCACUGUAGAAAUGAGAUAAUGAUCUGCCAGGUCUAAACCAGAUUGUUUCCCAUGCUCACCUUGAAGGGCUGAAUUAUCCUUGCUCAAAGUAUUGGCAUAGCUUAUGUUUUAGAAGACAUGCUAUUGGACUAGUUUGAAAGGUGCAUAUAACUGUCUACCUCUAGAUAGUUACCUACAGAUAUUUGGAGAGAAGCACUCAAUCACACCAUGGAGUUCAGUGUCAACCCAAUGUUGGACUAAAAUUACUAAGCGUACAGGAUUACAAACAGCCAGCUAUCAAUUUGUUUUGGUAAUUCUGCUGCGAUAGAAAAAGCAUCUAACUUCAGAGAACAGAGUAGGGAAGCCUUGAAUUACUGUUCGCCUGCUCAGGAGAAUGUGCAGACCAUGAACUGCUGCCUGGAGUAAAGUAAUGCUUGAUUGAAUGCACGGACCUGCCUGCUGCCUUUUGAGAUGAAGCUCUGCCGUCUGUCUCUCCCUGCCUAUCAAACUUACUUUAUGUGAAGAAACAAUCCUUCAGUGUUAAAACUAGGAAUAAUUCAGGUCUAAAGUGUGAGAUGUCUGACCUCUUGUUUUACAAACAGUGGAUAACAUUCACUAUAUGUAAUAUUUACUGAUUAUUAUAAAUUGCUGUAG